GGAGACAUAGUUUAACGGUUAAAACAUUUACCUUUUAAGUAACAUAAUGAUGGUUCGAAUCCAUCUGUUUCUA
rnacentral:tRNA from 1 species